rnacentral:rRNA from 1 species
GAUGAACGCUAGCUACAGGCUUAACACAUGCAAGUCGAGGGGCAGCAUGAACUUAGCUUGCUAAGUUUGAUGGCGACCGGCGCACGGGUGAGUAACACGUAUCCAACCUGCCGAUGACUCGGGGAUAGCCUUUCGAAAGAAAGAUUAAUACCCGAUGGCAUAGCUCUUCCGCAUGGUAGAACUAUUAAAGAAUUUCGGUCAUCGAUGGGGAUGCGUUCCAUUAGGUUGUUGGCGGGGUAACGGCCCACCAAGCCUUCGAUGGAUAGGGGUUCUGAGAGGAAGGUCCCCCACAUUGGAACUGAGACACGGUCCAAACUCCUACGGGAGGCAGCAGUGAGGAAUAUUGGUCAAUGGACGAGAGUCUGAACCAGCCAAGUAGCGUGAAGGAUGACUGCCCUAUGGGUUGUAAACUUCUUUUAUACGGGAAUAAAGUGAGGCACGUGUGCCUUUUUGUAUGUACCGUAUGAAUAAGGAUCGGCUAACUCCGUG